GAAUGCUGACAUAAGUAACGAUAAAGCGGGUGAAAAGCCCGCUCGCCGGAAGACCAAGGGUUCCUGUCCAACGUUAAUCGGGGCAGGGUGAGUCGACCCCUAAGGCGAGGCCGAAAGGCGUAGUCGAUGGGAAACAGGUUAAUAUUCCUGUACUUGGUGUUACUGCGAAGGGGGGACGGAGAAGGCUAUGUUGGCCGGGCGACGGUUGUC
rnacentral:rRNA from 1 species